GGCGGUGUCCUCGUCGUGAGCGCGCACGCGGCUUGGAGAGAGGUCGUCCAACUUUUUGAAUUCAUAUUUAAAACGACAAUAACCGUUUCCCGAAGUCUAUUUAAAGCUGCGCCAAAAAAUAGGAACCUUCACUUGCCUUUUGGUCUCUCUCUUGCAGCGGUUAGACCGAAAUGAUAUAUUUGCAACGGCACGGCUGCUCGAAUUUAGAAAAAUGAACACACAAAUUAGUGCUGUCAAUGUAGGCGGAAUGGAAUGCGUUCUUUAUAUUUUUAAAAAAAAGUCUUAAGGAGCGCGUUUAAAACAUCGAAGUGUGAAUAAAAUGUGAUUUUCUACAGAGUGCAGUACGGAGCCGACCUUUUUAGUGAUGUUACAGGGCGGACAGGUUUAGAUGGCCUCCAUCCACCCUUUACGUUCCUUCACAUGUUUCACAGCUGCUGCCCAGUGACUAAAUGAAUUGCCAGUAUUUAAAAACAAUCAUUGGAACGGUCACUUCAUGCUGUCAUUUAAGAGCGGGGACGUUGAUAAUGCAUAUUUUGCAUACACUUCACCAUUGUCACUCUUCAAAAAUAAACGAAGUUAUUCGGAAUGUGAAGCAAGUGUUUGCACAACAUUUACAAUGGAAUGGGUAAAUGGCGGACACAUGGGUGAAAUUGGAGAAUCAAAUAUUGUGAAAAUUGAACAGGUACAAGGACAUUCUGAUAAAAGGCUGGAGGCUACAUCAGGGACACCGGAGAAAAGUGGCAGAUAGAUGUAACACAAAACAAUCCAGAAUGAUUAUUACAAGAAUUAUGGUUUGAUUGGAGGAUCGAUUGAAAUAAUAUUACAGAAUUGGAUGUCUUCAGGGGAUUGGAUGGACAAAAGCCACGGAGAACCAAGGCUGGGAUGAAUUGAAGGUUUAAUUUCAGAUGGAGCAGAAAAAAAGUGAGCUGCUACGAUGCCUUGGGUGACAAGACCAGACCGGUCUCUCAAUACCAUCUACAUCCAAGAUUGUUGAACAGUUAUGUAGGAAGAUCCAGACGAAUAAAUACAAACAUGGACUCUUUCAAUUACAGUGAGAUAUUGAACAUGGAUCGUUGGUUGAUUAGAGAAUGGAAUUUAGAUUUCUUUAACGUGCAUAGUUGUUCCUUAUGUAUCCCGUUCGGUUACCGGUAAUGACUCAUAUACGUUAAUACUAAAAUAAAAACCUUAUUUCUAAACCAG